UACAGAGGUCCCAAGCGUUGUUCGGAUUCACUGGGCGUAAAGGGCGCGUAGGCGGCCACGCGUGUCUUUCGUGAAAUCCCUCGGCUUAACUGAGGACGUGCGGAAGAAACUGCGAGGCUUGAGUCCGGGAGAGGGGGGUGGAAUUCCCAGUGUAGCGGUGAAAUGCGUAGAUAUCGGGAGGAACAUCAGUGGCGAAGGCGGCUACCUGGCCCAAUACUGACACUCAGGUGCGACAGCGUGGGGAGCAAACAGG
rnacentral:rRNA from 1 species